rnacentral:ncRNA from 2 species
UGUUGAACCAAGGGGUGCGUUAAUUCGCUGAGAUUCAUUAAGAGAACCCUUAGUUACCUGAUCCGGUUAGUACCGGCGUAGGAAUGGUCAAUUACUUACCU